rnacentral:rRNA from 1 species
UACGAGGGGGGCGAGCGUUGUUCGGAAUUAUUGGGCGUAAAGGGUGCGUAGGCGGUUUGGUAAGUCUGAUGUGAAAUCUAUGGGCUCAACUCAUAGUCUGCAUCGGAAACUGCCGGGCUCGAGUAUGGGAGAGGUGAGUGGAAUUCCUGGUGUAGCGGUGAAAUGCGUAGAUAUCAGGAGGAACACCUGUGGCGAAAGCGGCUCACUGGACCAUAACUGACGCUGAUGCACGAAAGCUAGGGGAGCAAACAGG